ensembl:lncRNA
AUAAAUCAGGACUUUGCUCUGCUGUUCACUGCUGAAACAUCCAACAAGCUUCUUGAGAGGUGGGAGACAGCAUUCAAGCAAAAGAUCAUCAAUGAAGCCCAUUCUCUUACUUCAACAGCAGAAAUUUGGUGUCUUCUCAAUGCAGCAGGUGGACAAGGAUCUGAAAAUGGUUGGCAUGAUUUAUUGGGACAGUGACAUAUCAUCUGACCUGCUGCUGUUGCAUCUCCUGCCUCCUGCUCCAGGGAGGAAGAAGACUAAGAUCAGUCCAACAGAGGCUGUUGACAGACUUGUGCAUUUCCAUAAAGUAAAACUAACAUUACUGUUGCAAAGUCAUUGUGAAUAUUGAAAUGCAGUGGUUUUUUAAUCAUGGUCCUUGGGAUUCACCCCUUUGCACAUUUUAUUUCUCUGACCUGACUUAAGGGAUAGUUCACCCAACAUGAAAAUUAUGUCAUUUACUCACCCUCGGGUUGUUCCAAACCUGUAUAUAUUUCUUUGUACUGCUGAACACAAAGGAAGAUAUUUUGAAGAAAGGAUGUAAACUGGCUGCUUUGGGCAGCCAUUGACUUCCAUAGUAUGAAAAAAAAAAGAAUACUAUGAUCGUUAAUGACUUCCUAAAGCAGCCUGUUUAAAAACUUUUUUAAAAAUGUAUGUGUUCAGCAGUACAAAGAAAUGUAUACAGGCUUGGAACAACCUGUGGGCAACAACUUUUUCUGUAAAUUACAAAAUUACAAAACAUUUUGGGUGAACUAACCCUUUAGUUUUUCAUGGAGCUCUUACCUAAUGAGGCGAAGUUCUAAAUCAGGUUUGUUGAAUAAGGGAGACAUACAACAUGCAGAGCGGUGGGUCAACAGGACAGGGAUUGAAAAUAACUGGCAUGAUGUGUCAAAAUGUUCCUUUUGGACUCUCUAACUGAUUGCACGUGUUCACUUGCAUUAAAUUGACCUACAGCUCUCGGAUGUCCCUGUACAACUCCUUGCUUGUGUUCUUAUGAAGUAAGUCAGUCACAUAGCUUGGUUUGGCUGAGGGUGUAGCAGCAAAUGUAAUUAAAAAAAUAAUAAUAAUAAUAAUUGUGUGGGGGGGGGGGGGAGGAAAUUCAUUUAAUUACUUUUUUUUUUUUUUUUUUUUCAAAAAGCAUGAUAUCAACUGGAUUUUUUUUUUUUUUUGGCACAUAUUGGGUUAAGGUGUGUUUUAUAGGUGUUUUUUUUUUUUUUAAUUAUGCAUUUAUCAUUUCACAUUGUAAUUUUGUCUUCUUCUUCUUCUUCUUCUUUCCUGGUUUUAUUUAAUCUAAUUUUGUUUGUGCUUUUUUUAGUCCUGCACCAGUAUUGAAGGCCAUCUCAGCCUUACUGUGUUAACAGUGAACACUUGUUUUUACUCUAUGNNNNNNNAAAAAAAAAAAAAAGGAACACUAUUUAAAGUGUUAGUUUACCUCUAUAGUGCAGUCCUGCCUGUAUAUAAGCGGCAAAAAAAGUGUUAAUUUUCUCACUGUGAGUGCUAAUUUAACACUUUUAAAUUUGCUGUGGUGUUAAAUGCAGAGCACAAAUUCUGGGUAUGGGUCACCAUACUUGGCCACACUUCACUUUUUUGCAGUUUCUGUGGCAUCACAGCUAAAUGGAAACUACGUUGAAGAUGCAAGCAGUAGAAAGCGGGUGUGAGUCUGUGAGAGCAUUAUGACCUACAUUUUUUUUAACUAGUGCAUUACCUAUAACCCUCUACAUUUCUGUUUCAAUCAUUCAUUGCACAUGCUUCUGACAUUAUCAUUGAUUCUUAGGUAUUCACCACAUCCUUCUACGUUUUAUUUGACUUGAUAUAUUUAAAUGUAUUAUUAUAUGUUUUUUAUUAUUAUUAUUAUUUAGAAAAAUAAGAAACACAACUCCUUUUAACCACAAGGGGGCAACAGUGGAAUCAGAGACGUCCACUGAGCUCAGACACAUUGAUAAAGUAUUAUACAUUACCUAGAGAACUGUUUUGAAAAAAAUCAGACUCAUAAAGUUAAUAAAAUUAAGAUAAUAAAAUUACA